GCGCCCGUAGCUCAAAGGAUAGAGCGGCAGCCUUCGAAGCUGUGCGUUGGGAGUUCGAGUCUCUCCGGGCGUA
rnacentral:tRNA from 1 species